AUUGAACGCUGGCGGCAGGCCUAACACAUGCAAGUCGAACGGUAACAGGAAACAGCUUGCUGUUUCGCUGACGAGUGGCGGACGGGUGAGUAAUGUCUGGGAAACUGCCUGAUGGAGGGGGAUAACUACUGGAAACGGUAGCUAAUACCGCAUAACGUCGCAAGACCAAAGAGGGGGACCCUCGGGCCUCUUGCCAUCGGAUGUGCCCAGAUGGGAUUAGCUUGUUGGUGGGGUAACGGCUCACCAAGGCGACGAUCCCUAGCUGGUCUGAGAGGAUGACCAGCCACACUGGAACUGUGACACGGUCCAGACGCCUACGGGAGGCAGCAGUGGGGAAUAUUGCACAAUGGGCGCAAGCCUGAUGCAGCCAUGCCGCGUGUAUGAAGGAGGCCUUCGGGUUUUAAAGUAGCUUCAGCGGGGAGGAAGGGAGUAAAGUUAAUACCUUUGCUCAUUGACGUUACCCGCAGAAGAAGCACCGGCUAACUCCGUG
rnacentral:rRNA from 1 species